GGUAUUAGGUAACAAAAAAAAAAACCGUAAAAGGGCAGAGAAAGUAAAGGCAAGCCAUUUAACUCAUUAGAAAGAAAACGCAAACUAAAGAGAACCCUAAGCGCCGUCUCUCUCUCUCUCGUCUCAACACAGUCGCCACCGCACUCAGUCACCACCGUCAGCGGCAAUCACUCAGUCACCACCGUAUCUCUUCAACUCAGUCGCCACCGCCUCAUCUCAACACGAUUCACCACCGCCUCGUUUCUAUCGGUAUGAAAUUUCUCGCCACCGUUUCGUUGACACUUCUCCGUCUCCUCCGAUUCAUGAAAUUUCUCGCCCCCUUUAUCUGUUGAAGUGAGAAUCUGGCAUUUUUAGUUAGUUCACACUUCACAUCGUUAUUCUUGACUGUGUAUAUAUCUUAAUAGUUCACACUUCACAUUGUUAUUUUCACUCUAUUAUUCAGUGUUUGUUACCCACUUCACAUGCUUAUGUAGUUGACACUUCCCUGAUGAUUAUGUCAUGUUGCUGUUUGGAUUUAAUUUCUUGCUUGGAAAUAUGGUGGAAUCAAGAUUGAAGAAAUAGAUGGUAUCCACACCAAUGACACAGAUUUGGAAGAUGACCAGCUGUUGAUAUAAUUUGAAGAAGAUUUUGAUAUAUUUUGAAGAAGAUUUUGAUGACAAUGAUUCAACUAAUGAAGAUGUUCCAAAUGAUCAUAUUGAACCUGAUUAUGAUUAAAUUUGUUUAUUGUUUUUUUUCUUCUUUCUUUUGGUUGAAAAAGUGAUUAUUGUUUUUUGUGAAAGUCAUUAUUCACACUAUUAUAUCAUUGUUACUUUUUUAUAUUUAAACAUAUGUGAUUAAUCUCUAUGUCUUUAUCAUUACUUUAGAUGUCAGGUAUUGGUAAACCAAGAGGACUACAUAAACGAUUUGUAGAUAAAGGGAAUGGAAAGAAAGUUCCAACCAUUUCUACUAGUUUGGAGCAAAGGAACACUGCUAUGCACACAACUUCAGUGUCACACUAGGAAGGGGACACAACUUUGUUGAUAAGAGAUCAAGUGAUGCAUAUGAUAACAUUGUAAAUCUAUGUUCACAAGUUGAGACUAGUGGCACUCAACCCAAGCCAAUUGGUAUGGAUGGAAGCAUGCUCACCCAUGGCUCAACAUCUCAAUCAAAUAAAUAUUCAAAUUAUGUUGAUAUUGUUCAUGGCAUGAGUAGAGAGGUUGAUGCGGGACUACGACAACAACUGAUAUUUGGAUUUAAUGGAUUUGGAUGAAGAUGAUCCUUCGGUUGGUAUUGUUAGUCGUGGAAGCAAUGCCAUUGAUGGUUCAAAUGCUAAUGAGUAGUAAUAUUGAUGACUUUGGAUUAGAACUUAAAAAUUAUUGAAAGUUUGAUAUUUUGUAGGCACAUUCAAGUUAUUUGAACUUUAACCUUUUGAAUGUAAUGAUAAAAGUUUGAUAUUUGGAGAUACUUGUGUUUAUGAUAAUUAAUGCUUACAAAUUGAAUUUGUAGUUCGA